rfam:Asian citrus Psyllid, Diaphorina citri - Florida Strain, whole genome shotgun sequence.
GCCAGUGGCACAAAGCAUGUUGAAUGCACCAGUACUCAAUGGAUCACUUAAGUUAAGCAAAGUUGUGUGUGGUGGAUGGAUGACCAUUUGGACAAUCAUAUGCUGCUGGCU